rnacentral:piRNA from 1 species
UAACCUCAGCAAAAGUUGGUAGCGUGUCA